CCAUAGCGAUAAGAGACGUUAGCUAAUAACUUUAGUUAAUCUUUUCCAAGCUGUGUAUUUUAAUCAUCUGAGAUAGCUCCCAAGAACAGUUUAGAAAGAACCACUGUGCUAUCAAGACUGCUUAAUGUUUUAAUUUUUUUAGGACAGAAUAAUCUUGCAUUUCCCCCCAUUUAAAAAAUCAACAAACUAGGCUGCAAUACUCCAGUUUCAUUGUCUUUUUUUUUUUUUUUUUUUUUUUUUUGGUGCUCGGAGGAUCUCAGCAUUGUAUUUCGGACUAUUCCUUUUCAUGUUAUAUGGAAAUCUGCACUGUGUAUUUGAGGUUGGGGACGUCAUGUCAGGAGAAUGAAUGGUCAUCUCUAAUCCUGUGAACCAUCAACCAGCCUGCUUUGGGCCCAAGAACCCUAAGAUUGGGGUGAAGGAUCUUCCUACCUUCCUGGGAAAGGAGAUGAGGAGUGGCCUGGAGAGUGAUCAGUGAGUGUAUGGCCAGCUGAAUCAGAACUUUGGAUAUUACAAGAGUUGGGGGAUGGACGCGUACAGACCACUGCUGGUGCAAGCCAUCCCCCAAGGAUCGGUGACCCAGCCUGCCUCUGGAGCAGAAUUGGUUGCAUUUCUUGUUUACCAUCAUGGUGAACAGAUCUAUUUGAGGAGUGCCCUGUGCCAGAAUAUGUAGGCAAGUAUGAUAGAAUCUAUCUCCCACUCAUGGUCUUGAGAGAAGUGCCUGCUGAGUGUGUCCAUGGUCACAUUCUAAAUUCCUGGGAGGUAAGCUGCUAAAAUGACAAUCUGACUGCAUAUGCAUCAGUUCCAAAGCUUGACAGCCUUGGUGCAAAGGGGGGGGAUCUUGCCCCUCCUUGUUGUUUGAUACAGAACAUGCAUGACAUGCUGUCUCUCAUGACCUUUAUGUGUUUGCCCCUGAUUAGUGGUAGAAACUGGACAUGGGACGUAUCUGUCUGCCCUGAGUUCCAGGAGGUUGAUGUGCAGAGUGGUUUUCUGAAGCAUCCACCUGCCCUGCACCAUGUGGGUGUCUAGAUGCACUCCCCACCUGUGACAUUAUCUGAUUAAAAUAUGACCAUGUAGAUCAUUGUUGCUACCACUGUUAUAUAAUUACAACAAAUCUUGUACAAAGUAUGUCAAGUAAAGUGUCUAUGGAAAGGUUAUGAUUUGCUGAAUAUGAUUAUGCUAUUGGUAUGCAUGUAUCAUGUUUGUAUUUGUAGUUAUGAGUAUUGGCUUUAUACCUGUCUGAUGUUAUUGGCAUAAACUGUGACCGUAUAGAUCAUUGUUGCAACCAGGGUUCUAUGGUUGCACCAGGUCUUGUACAGAGGAGGUCAAGUGGGAUGUCUAUGGAAAGGUUGUAGUUUGCUGGUUAUGAUUAUGCUGUCUGUAUGUGUGUAUCACUUUUGCAUUUCAAGUUAUGAAUAUUGGCUAUGUACUUGUAUCUCAAUGUGUUUGAUUCUAAGUAGCCUCAGUGAAGCAUUUGGUCAACUUCUUGAGAAAGGACUAUUCUCAGUAAGUGCCCAAUCAAGAAACAAUUAACUGAUAAUGGACUUUGGGAGACACCUAUCCACAUCUGAGCUUUCCUGGGAAUGUUCAAACUAACAUGUAAACAAUGGUGUCAGCCUGCAAACAGCUGAAUCAUUCAUGGACAUGUGACUUGCCCAGGUGGCUACAAACUCCAUCUUGUUGCUGUGACUUUGCACAGAAGAACAAAGGGGUUUUCACCCACGAGAGAGAGAAUUUAAAAGGCCCUGGAAGCCUCUCCAUUUUGUCUUCAGCUGGCUUAAGAGAUGGCCUCUCCACCCCCAAGAGAUGCCUGAAAGAAACUGGAACAAAGGACAAUAACUACAGGGGUGUGAGUGAUUGCUGGACCCAGACUAGGAAGGAGUCCAGUCUUUGAAAGAAGCUGACUGGAACAUCUCUAAGGGUGAGAUUUACCUAUAUGCAGUUUCUUCAUGUAUUUGGCUUAGACUUACAUGUGUUGUUUCAUUUUGCUUGGUAACUUACUUUGUUCUAUCUGUUAUUACUUGGAACCACUUAAA